rnacentral:misc_RNA from 1 species
CAGGGACGCUGUAUCCGUAAUGGGACAUUUUCUAGAGGAAGGCACGGUCCCGCCCGCGGAGUUCGCUUCGCUUCUCGACUAGAUGCACAACUCGGCGAGUAACGCGCCGACUGAGGAUGCCGCUAUUGAGGAUAUGCUCGCUACGUUGCGCAGUGAGGUUCUUGCGCACUCGCGAGGGACCUUGCUGAAGAUCUAUGAGUCGCUUGCUGCGUCACUGCCGGCUGCUGGUGUCGGCACUUCUACAUUCACCGCUGCGCUGGACAUUCUGGAUGCCGCCAGACUUGGCGGCGAGAUCGAUCCUGAGCCCUUGGUCGGCUCGUAUAUCAGAUCGGUCGAGGCAGGCGCCUAUAGCGUUUCGCUGAAUAGAGUCAGUGUCAGUGCUGCCGCAUGUCUGUGCGAGGUUGCGACGCGCGCCUCCGGCGAACUUCGCCAGAGAUUCCUGGCUCCGUUGA